UACGGAGGGGCUAGCGUUGUUCGGAAUUACUGGGCGUAAAGCGCACGUAGGCGGCUUUGUAAGUUAGAGGUGAAAGCCCGGGGCUCAACUCCGGAAUUGCCUUUAAGACUGCAUCGCUAGAACGUCGGAGAGGUAAGUGGAAUUCCGGGUGUAGAGGUGAAAUUCGUAGAUAUUCGGAAGAACACCAGUGGCGAAGGCGACUUACUGGACGACCGUUGACGCUGAGGUGCGAAAGCGUGGGGAGCAAACAGG
rnacentral:rRNA from 1 species